UACGUAGGGGGCUAGCGUUAUCCGGAAUUACUGGGCGUAAAGGGUGCGUAGGCGGUCUUUCAAGCCAGAAGUGAAAGGCUACGGCUCAACCGUAGUAAGCUCUUGAAACUGUGAGACUUGAGUGCAGGAGAGGAGAGUGGAAUUCCUAGUGUAGCGGUGAAAUGCGUAGAUAUUAGGAGGAACACCAGUUGCGAAGGCGGCUCUCUGGACUGUAACUGACGCUGAGGCACGAAAGCGUGGGGAGCAAACAGGACUAGAUACCCUGGUA
rnacentral:rRNA from 1 species